rnacentral:rRNA from 1 species
UGGGGAAUAUUGGACAAUGGGCGCAAGCCUGAUCCAGCGACGCCGCGUGUGUGAAGAAGGUCUUCGGAUUGUAAAGCACUUUAAGUUGGGAGGAAGGGCAGUAAGUUAAUACCUUGCUGUUUUGACGUUACCGACAGAAUAAGCACCGGCUAACUCUGUGCCAGCAGCCGCGGUAAUACAGAGGGUGCAAGCGUUAAUCGGAAUUACUGGGCGUAAAGCGCGCGUAGGUGGUUUGUUAAGUUGGAUGUGAAAGCCCCGGGCUCAACCUGGGAACUGCAUCCAAAACUGGCAAGCUAGAGUACGGUAGAGGGUGGUGGAAUUUCCUGUGUAGCGGUGAAAUGCGUAGAUAUAGGAAGGAACACCAGUGGCGAAGGCGACCACCUGGACUGAUACUGACACUGAGGUGCGAAAGCGUGGGGAGCAAACAGGAUUAGAUACCCAUGUAGUCCCUGAGCGGGCUGGCAAGGCGCAU